rnacentral:rRNA from 1 species
AGUGAACGCUGGCGGCAGGCCUAAUACAUGCAAGUCGAACGGCAGCACAGCAGAGCUUGCUCUGUGGGUGGCGAGUGGCGGACGGGUGAGGAAUACGUGGGAAUCUGCCCAGUCGUGGGGGAUAACGUAGGGAAACUUACGCUAAUACCGCAUGCGCCCUUCGGGGGAAAGCCGGGGACCUUCGGGCCUGGCGCGAUUGGAUGAGCCCACGUCGGAUUAGCUAGUUGGCGGGGUAAAGGCCCACCAAGGCGACGAUCCGUAGCUGGUCUGAGAGGAUGAUCAGCCACACUGGAACUGAGACACGGUCCAGACUCCUACGGGAGGCAGCAGUAGGGAAUAUUGGACAAUGGGCGCAAGCCUGAUCCAGCCAUGCCGCGUGAGUGAAGAAGGCCCUCGGGUUGUAAAGCUCUUUUGUCCGGAAAGAAAAGCGCCGGGUUAAUACCCUAGGUGUCCUGACGGUACCGGAAGAAUAAGCACCGGCUAACUUACGUGCCAGCAGCCGCGGUAAU